UACAGAGGUCUCGAGCGUUAGGCGGAAUCACUGGGCUUAAAGCGUGUGUAGGCGGAUCGUUAAGUGCCUUGUGAAAUCCCACGGCUUAACCGUGGAACUGCUUGGCAUACUGGCGAUCUUGAGCAACCUAGGGGCGAGCGGAACAAAUGGUGGAGCGGUGAAAUGCGUAGAUAUCAUUUGGAACGCCAAUGGUGAAAACAGCUCGCUGGGGGUUUGCUGACGCUGAGACGACGAAAGCCAGGGGAGCAAACGGG
rnacentral:rRNA from 1 species